rnacentral:misc_RNA from 1 species
UCCGAGUUGACCCCGGCAGUCUCCUAUGAGUCCCCACCAUCACGUGCUGGCAACAUAGAACGAGGGUUGCGCUCGUUGCGGGACUUAACCCAACAUCUCACGACACGAGCUGACGACAACCAUGCACCACCUGUCCACCAGCCCCGAAGGGAAACCCCAUCUCUGAGGGCUUUCCCGUGCAUGUCAAGCCUAGGUAAGGUUCUUCGCGUUGCGUCGAAUUAAACCACAUGCUCCACCGCUUGUGCGGGCCCCCGUCAAUUCCUUUGAGUUUCAGCCUUGCGGCCGUACUCCCCAGGCGGGGCACUUAAUGCGUUAGCGUCGGCACGGGAGGAGUCGACACCUCCCACACCUAGUGCCCAUCGUUUACGGCGUGGACUAC